rnacentral:rRNA from 1 species
GCUAAUACAUGCAAGUCGAGCGGAGUUGAAUUGAAAGUUUGUUUUCAAUUCAACUUAGCGGCGGACGGGUGAGUAACACGUAGGUAACCUGCCUGUAAGAGUGGGAUAACUACCGGAAACGGUAGAUAAUACCGGAUAACUUGUUUCUUCUCCUGAAGAGACACUGAAAGGGGGAGAAAUCUGCCACUUACAGAUGGGCCUGCGGCGUAUUAUAUAGGUGGAGAGGUAACGGCUCACCAAGGAGACGAUGCGUACCCGACCUGAGAGGGUGAACGGCCACACUGGGACUGAGACACGGCCCAGACUCCUACGGGAGGCAGCAGUAGGGAAUCUUCCGCAGUGGACGAAAGUCUGACGGAGCAACGCCGCGUGAGUGAUGAAGGUUUUCGGAUCGUAAAGCUCUGUUGCCAGGGAAGAACGUUUGGGAGAGUAACUGCUCUCAAGGUGACGGUACCUGAAAAAAAAGCCCCGGAUAACUACGUGCCAGCAGCCGCGGAAAUACGUAGGGGGCAAGCGGUGUCCGGAAUUAUUGGGCGUAAAGCGCGCGCAGGCGGNCAUUUAAGUUUGGUGUUUAAUCCCGGAGCUCAACUUCGGGUCGCACUGAAAACUGGAUGACUUGAGUACAGAAGAGGAGAGUGGAAUUCCACGUGUAGCGGAGAAAUGCGUAUAUAUGUGGAGGAACACCAGUGGAGAAGGNGACUCUCUGGUCUGUCACUGACGCUGANGCGCGAAAGCGUGGAGAGCAAACAGGAUUAU